GGUCGCCCUCGACGACGGUCGCGUCCGCCACCGACAGGGCGGCCCGGGACUGGAAGCGGGCCACCUGCGGAUCGUGGUCGCUGGCGCCCU
rnacentral:tRNA from 1 species